rnacentral:sRNA from 1 species
AAAAACUUUAUUGUAAAGAUGAUUAUAAAUAUAUGAUAUUAUUUUAUUUGAUUUAAAUGUAUAGUAAACUGCCAGUUGUAUAUGUUUUGUUGAUAUUAUUUAUAUUGUUUAGUGUUUAAAAUUAUAUACUUGUAUUUUGAUUGUUAAUUUUAGAGUUUCACUUAUAGUAUACCAUCUUGUAUUAAUAUCGAUUUAAACCCGUCAAUUCUAGGAUUUUCCAGCUUGUAUUAGAAAUUGAAUCACAUCAUACACAUAAAAAAAUCUAAUAUGUUAUUAAUUAUUGUAGUAUAUAAGAUUAUAAAUGUUUAAAAUAAUAUGUAUGAAAUUGAUU